GAUGAAGAACGUAGUGAAAUGCGAUAAGUAGUGUGAAUUGCAGAAUUACCUGAAUCAUCGAAUCUUUGAACGCACAUUGCGCCCGUCAGUAUUCUGGCGGGCAUGCCUGUUCGAGCGUCAUUACGCCCCUCAAGUCCCCUGUGGACUUGGUGUUGGGGAUCGGCGAGGCUGGUUUUCCAGCACAGCCGUCCCUUAAAUUAAUUGGCGGUCUCGCCGUGGCCCUCCUCUGCGCAGUAGUAAAACACUCGCAACAGGAGCCCGGCGCGGUCCACUGCCGUAAAACCCCCCAACUUUUUAUAGUUGACCUCGAAUCAGGUAGGACUACCCGCUGAACUUAAGCAUAUCAAUAAGCGGAGGA
rnacentral:misc_RNA from 1 species